CACAAUUAAACAACCAUUUAUAGAUUCAUAAUUAACAAAAAUAUACAACCAGAAGACCACUUAAACCUCAUCCAACCUAUACAAUAUGUUGUAGACCGUAAUUAAUAUAGACACAAACAUCAAAAUCAAAUAUAAUUAAUACAUACAUAAUCCCUCUAUACGUUAACAUUCUUAAAACCCAUAAACGUUAUUAUACACUUCUCUUGCAAAUACUAACAUAGAACUCACACAAUGAAAAGGGCUUGUGUUGCAAAGAUCAAUUCCAUGUGCCGUGUCUUCCUAUGGAAAGGGGAUCCAGAGGCCCACAACACUGCGAGAGUAGCUUGGUCAACAGUGGUGAAGACUAAGGAAGAAGGUGGGUUAGGCGUCAAGGAUCUCCUGUUAUGGAACAAGGCGUGCUGUCUGCGUUUGAUCUGGCUAAUCUUCUUCAUGCCUGAGUCAGUGUGGGCGGCUUGGUUCAAAGAAGUAAUCCUCAAAGGCUCAGUAUUACUUGACUACCAAGCCCUCGCAGAGUUUCUCUUGGCUAACAAACAAACUAUUGAAGCUAAGAGAUGUAGCUUACCCCUUAAUUCACCUUCGUAUACAUAAUGGAAAGGGCUGCAGGUUUUGGGUUGACAACUGGAGUCCCUAUGGCAAGCUUGAGGACUACUUGGAGGGAGGGAGAUCAAGCCUUGGUAUCCCACAAAACACAACUCUAGCCUCGCUACAUCACAAUGGCUCAUGGCGCCUUCCAGCGGCGAGAACAGAGCGCCAAGUUCAGGUUCUUUCUUUCAUCACUACAAUCAUGUUCAGUGAAGAAUCAGAUUACUAUAAAUGGGAGAUUAGGGGUAAGACUAGAAAGAAAUAUAGCACAGGAGAGGUCUACCAAUACUUGAAAGGCAUCGUUGAAGUUGUAACUUGGGCAAGAGCAAUAUGGAUCUCAAGAGGCAUACCACGGCAGAGCUUCCAUGCGUGGCUGGUGGCUCUGAAUAGGAUUCCAACCCGAGAUAGGCUAAUUGGUUGGGGGCUGCAGUUUCCUCUAAUCUGCCUCCUUUGCAACACCACUGACGAAUCGAGAGAUCAUCUGUACUGGGUUGUAACUUCUCUUAUCAACUAUGGUCCCUCGUCGCCUCUAGAUGCAGAAUCAAUCCACUCCGGAGCUGGGAGAGCUCUCUGAACCAGAUGAAGACUCUACCUCCACCAAACAAAACUCAAUCCUUAACCCUACUUGGAUGGCAAGCCACGAUCUAUUGGAUCUGGAACGAGCGAAACCAACACUUGCAUGCAAACCGAUUUCGAUCGGUGGACUCCCUCUUCUCGAGCAUUGAUCACCGGGUGAGAAACAAAAUACAGAGCUUCAGAGAAUCCCAUCCCACUCGAUGCUCUGAGAUGAUGCAAUUGUGGAUCCGUUGACUUCAGCUUGGCUGCUUAGAACUAGGUCCUCGCUAUCCAGAUGGGGAACAAAGAAGAAAGACUCCUCGGUGAAUCGAUGCUCCAUCUCUCUCAACUUCCCUUCCUCUAACCACUGACUAGUAUGGGCUUCUAACCGGGCCUCAGAUGACUGGGUUUAAUAUGUUAUAAACUAUGAGUUCAUUGGGCUAUGCUCUUUCACUAGAGCCUUGGGCUUUUGUAAACAUUUUGCUUUCUUUUGCAUUUAUAUAAGCCAGUUACAAAAAAACUCACACAAUGAAAAUAUACAAUAAUAUAGUUAUAUACAUCACACGUAAAACAUAUCCCAGCGCACGGACCGAC
rnacentral:lncRNA from 1 species